AUUGAACGCUGGCGGCAGGCUUAACACAUGCAAGUCGAGCGAGCGGCGGACGGGAGAGUAAUGUCUGGGAAACGGCCUGAUGGAGGGGGAUAACUAAUGGAAACGGUAGCUAAUCACGCAUACCAUCAGAGCUGCCCAGAUGGGAUUAGCUAGUGGGGGGGGUAAUGGCUCACCUAGGCGACGAUCCCUAGCUGGUCUGAGAGGAGGACCAGCCACACUGGAACUGAGACACGGUCCAGACUCCUACGGGAGGCAGCAGUGGGGAAUAUUGGACAAUGGGCGCAAGCCUGAUGCAGCCAUGCCGCGUGUGGGAAGAAGGCCUUCGGGUUGUAAAGCACUUUGAGCGGGGAGGCGGUACUCGCAGAAGAAGCACCGGCUAACUCCGUGCCAGCCGCCGCGGUAAUAC
rnacentral:rRNA from 1 species